GCUAGGUUCAUUCGUUGGCCUCGGUUGAUAGAAAUAUCGGUCGGGGCCUUCGUCUUU
rnacentral:sRNA from 1 species